rnacentral:rRNA from 1 species
UACGGGGGGGGCAAGCGCUGUUCGGAAUUACUGGGCGUAAAGGGUCUGUAGGUGGCCAACUAAGUCAGACGUGAAAUCCCUCAGCUUAACUGGGGAACUGCGUCUGAUACUGGAUGGCUUGAGUGCAGGAGAGGAACGCGGAAUUCCAGGUGUAGCGGUGAAAUGCGUAGAGAUGUGGAGGAACACCGAUGGCGAAGGCAGCCCCCUGGGUCAACACUGACGCUCAUGCACGAAAGCGUGGGGAGCAAACAGG